UACGUAGGAUCCAAGCGUUGUCCGGAUUUACUGGGUGUAAAGGGCGUGUAGGUGGAUCUCUAAGUCGGUGGUGAAAUCCUGCAGCUUAACUGCAGAACUGCUGUCGAUACUGGAGGUCUUGAGUGCGGUAGAGGGAGACGGAAUUCAUGGUGUAGCGGUGAAAUGUGUAGAUAUCAUGAAGAACACCGGUUGCGAAGGCGGUCUCCUGGCCCGUUACUGACACUGAGACGCGAAAGCGUGGGGAGCAAAC
rnacentral:rRNA from 1 species